GCGCGGGUGGCGAAAUCGGUAGACGCCCGGGACUUAAAAUCCCGUAUCCGAAAGGGUGUGCGGGUUCGAUCCCCGCCCCGCGCACCA
rnacentral:tRNA from 1 species